AGUGAACGCUGGCGGUAGGCCUAACACAUGCAAGUCGAACGGCAGCACAGUAAGAGCUUGCUCUUACGGGUGGCGAGUGGCGGACGGGUGAGGAAUACAUCGGAAUCUACUUUUUCGUGGGGGAUAACGUAGGGAAACUUACGCUAAUACCGCAUACGACCUACGGGUGAAAGCAGGGGAUCUUCGGACCUUGCGCGAUUGAAUGAGCCGAUGUCGGAUUAGCUAGUUGGCGGGGUAAAGGCCCACCAAGGCGACGAUCCGUAGCUGGUCUGAGAGGAUGAUCAGCCACACUGGAACUGAGACACGGUCCAGACUCCUACGGGAGGCAGCAGUGGGGAAUAUUGGACAAUGGGCGCAAGCCUGAUCCAGCCAUACCGCGUGGGUGAAGAAGGCCUUCGGGUUGUAAAGCCCUUUUGUUGGUAAAGAAGAGCAGCAGGUUAAUACCCCGCUGUUCUGACGGUACCCAAAGAAUAAGCACCGGCUAACUUCGUG
rnacentral:rRNA from 1 species